rnacentral:rRNA from 1 species
UACGUAGGUCCCGAGCGUUGUCCGGAUUUAUUGGGCGUAAAGCGAGCGCAGGUGGUUUAUUAAGUCUGGUGUAAAAGGCAGUGGCUCAACCAUUGUAUGCAUUGGAAACUGGUAGACUUGAGUGCAGGAGAGGAGAGUGGAAUUCCGUGUGUAGCGGUGAAAUGCGUAGAUAUACGGAGGAACACCAGUGGCGAAGGCGGCCUGCUGGACAUUAACUGACGCUGAGGCGCGAAAGCGUGGGGAGCAAACAGG